GAGUUUGAUCCUGGCUCACGAAUCAACGCUGGCGGCAGGCCUAACACAUGCAAGUCGAGCGGUAGAGAGAAGCUUGCUUCUCUUGAGAGCGGCGGACGGGUGAGUAAUGCCUAGGAAUCUGCCUGGUAGUGGGGGAUAACGCUCGGAAACGGACGCUAAUACCGCAUACGUCCUACGGGAGAAAGCAGGGGACCUUCGGGCCUUGCGCUAUCAGAUGAGCCUAGGUCGGAUUAGCUAGUUGGUGAGGUAAUGGCUCACCAAGGCGACGAUCCGUAACUGGUCUGAGAGGAUGAUCAGUCACACUGGAACUGAGACACGGUCCAGACUCCUACGGAGGCAGCAGUGGGGAAUA
rnacentral:rRNA from 1 species